CGUGAGUGGCGGACGGGUGAGUAACGCGUGGGUAACCUGCCUCAUACAGGGGGAUAACAGUUAGAAAUGACUGCUAAUACCGCAUAAGACCACAGUACCGCAUGGUACAGGGGUAAAAACUCCGGUGAUAUGAGAUGGACCCGCGUCUGAUUAGGUAGUUGGUGGGGUAACGGCCUACCAAGCCGACGAUCAGUAGCCGACCUGAGAGGGUGACCGGCCACAUUGGGACUGAGACACGGCCCAA
rnacentral:rRNA from 1 species